GACGAACGCUGGCGGCGUGCUUAACACAUGCAAGUCGAACGGAAAGGCCCUGCUUUUGUGGGGUGCUCGAGUGGCGAACGGGUGAGUAACACGUGAGUAACCUGCCCUUGACUUUGGGAUAACUUCAGGAAACUGGGGCUAAUACCGGAUAGGAGCUCCUGCUGCAUGGUGGGGGUUGGAAAGUUUCGGCGGUUGGGGAUGGACUCGCGGCUUAUCAGUUUGUUGGUGGGGUAGUGGCUUACCAAGGCUUUGACGGGUAGUCGGCCUGAGAGGGUGACCGGCCACAUUGGGACUGGGAUACGGCCCAGACUCCUACGGGAGGCAACAGUGGGGAAUAUUGCACAAUGGGCGGAGGCCUGAUGCGGCGACGCCGCGUGCGGGAUGACGGCCUUCGGGUUGUAAACCGCUUUCGCCUGUGACGAAGCGUGAGUGACGGUAAUGGGUAAAGAAGCACCGGCUAACUACGUG
rnacentral:rRNA from 1 species